GUUUCUCAGACUUUGGGCUAAGAUUAAGUGUGGUAUCU
rnacentral:snRNA from 1 species